rnacentral:rRNA from 1 species
UACAGAGGGGGCGAGCGUUGUUCAGAAUUACUGGGCGUAAAGGGCGCGUAGGCGGCCCGCUACGUCGAACGUGAAAUCCCCAGGCUCAACCUGGGAACUGCGUCCGAUACUGGCAGGCUUGAAUCCGGGAGAGGGAUGUGGAAUUCCAGGUGUAGCGGUGAAAUGCGUAGAUAUCUGGAGGAACACCGGUGGCGAAGGCGGCAUCCUGGACCGGUAUUGACGCUGAGGCGCGAAAGCUAGGGGAGCAAACGGG